rnacentral:lncRNA from 1 species
AAUACAAAUUAUUUAAAAAGGAUAUUAAGAGUGUAUUAUCUGUAUUAACCUAUAUUUUAAUCAGUUUAGUUAACUUUGUUUUUUUUGAUGGAGUCUCUCUCUGUUGCCCAGACUGGAGUGCAAGGGCACAAUCUCUGCUCACUACAACCUCCACCUCCUGGGUUGAAGUGAUUCUCCUGCCUCAGCCACCCAAAUAGCUGGGAUUACAAAUGUGUGCUGCCAUACCUGGCUAAUGUUGUAUUUUUAGGAUAAAGGGGGUUUUACCAUCUUGGCCAAGCUGGUCUUGAAUUCCUGACCUCAGGUGAUCUACCCUCCUCAGCCUCCCCAAGGCAUGAGCCAUGGCACCCAGCCAGGAACAAUCCAAACCCAUUUGCUUCUGCAAAUUUUUAAGCAGCCUUUGACAUGCUAUGAAUGACUCUAACAGCAACCAGAAUGACUGACUACUGCUAUAACGUUCUAUUGUAUCAGUUGUAUUGUGAAUUUGUGGAUGUUCAGCAGUUCAACUGUGUAAUUGUGGAUGAAUUCUGAUGAAAUUUGGAGAGUGAGCUUGGGAGGACGUGGUAUAACAGUAUGACAUACAGAAAUAUGAGAAUUUUUCAUGGUGGCUUUAGUGAAGAAACAUGCCAAAUGCAUUUAAGGUGUCAUGAACUGGAAAAGGAACAGUGGUUUCUAAUGAGUAUAUGAGUCAC